UGCUGGACAGCUCAGUCAGUAGAGCAGGAUACUUAAUCUCAAGGUCGUGGGUUUGAGCCCCACAUUCGGCAA